AGUGAACGCUGGCGGUAGGCCUAACACAUGCAAGUCGAACGGCAGCACAGUAAGAGCUUGCUCUUACGGGUGGCGAGUGGCGGACGGGUGAGGAAUACAUCGGAAUCUACUUUUUCGUGGGUGAUAACGUCGGGAAACUUACGCUAAUACCGCAUACGACCUACGGGUGAAAGCAGGGGAUCUUCUGACCUUUCGCUAUUGAAUGAGCCGAUGUCGGAUUAGCUAGUUGGCGGGGUAAAGGCCCACCAAGGCGACGAUCCGUAGCUGGUCUGAGAGGAUGAUCAGACACACUGGAACUGAGACACGGUCCAGACUCCGACGGGAGGCAGCAGUGGGGAAUAUUGGACAAAGGGCGCAAGCCUGAUCCAGCCAUACCGCGUGGGUGAAGAAGGCCUUCGGGUUGUAAAGCCCUUUUGUUGGGAAAGAAAAGCAGCAGGUUAAUACCCCGCUGUUCUGACGGUACCCAAAGAAUAAGCACCGGCUAACUUCGUG
rnacentral:rRNA from 1 species